rnacentral:rRNA from 1 species
GGGUUGUGAGGUUAAGCGACUAAGCGUACACGGUGGAUGCCCUGGCAGUCAGAGGCGAUGAAGGACGUGCUAAUCUGCGAAAAGCGCCGGCGAGGUGAUAUGAACCCUUGACCCGGCGAUGUCCGAAUGGGGAAACCCAGUGCAAUCCGUUGCACUAUCGUUAACUGAAUACAUAGGUUAACGAGGCGAACCGGGGGAACUGAAACAUCUAAGUACCCCGAGGAAAAGAAAUCAACCGAGAUUCCCCCAGUAGCGGCGAGCGAACGGGGAGCAGCCCGGAGUCUGAAUCAGCUUGUGUGUUAGUGGAACGGUCUGGAAAGUCCGACGGUACAGGGUGAUAGUCCCGUACACGAAAGCACACAUGCUGUGAACUCGAAGAGUAGGGCGGGACACGUGGUAUCCUGUCUGAAUAUGGGGGGACCAUCCUCCAAGGCUAAAUACUCCUGACUGACCGAUAGUGAACCAGUACCGUGAGGGAAAGGCGAAAAGAACCCCGGCGAGGGGAGUGAAAAAGAACCUGAAACCGUGUACGUACAAGCAGUGGGAGCCUCUUUAUGGGGUGACUGCGUACCUUUUGUAUAAUGGGUCAGCGACUUAUAUUCUGUAGCAAGGUUAACCGUAUAGGGGAGCCGAAGGGAAACCGAGUCUUAACUGGGCGUUAAGUUGCAGGGUAUAGACCCGAAACCCGGUGAUCUAGCCAUGGGCAGGUUGAAGGUUGGGUAACACUAACUGGAGGACCGAACCGACUAAUGUUGAAAAAUUAGCGGAUGACCUGUGGCUGGGGGUGAAAGGCCAAUCAAACCGGGAGAUAGCUGGUUCUCCCCGAAAGCUAUUUAGGUAGCGCCUCGUGAACUCAUCUUCGGGGGUAGAGCACUGUUUCGGCUAGGGGGCCAUCCCGGCUUACCAACCCGAUGCAAACUACGAAUACCGAAGAAUGUUAUCACGGGAGACACACGGCGGGUGCUAACGUCCGUCGUGAAGAGGGAAACAACCCAGACCGCCAGCUAAGGUCCCAAAGUCAUGGUUAAGUGGGAAACGAUGUGGGAAGGCACAGACAGCCAGGAUGUUGGCUUAGAAGCAGCCAUCAUUUAAAGAAAGCGUAAUAGCUCACUGGUCGAGUCGGCCUGCGCGGAAGAUGUAACGGGGCUAAACCAUGCACCGAAGCUGCGGCAGCGAC